UACAGAGGUCCCAAGCGUUGUUCGGAUUCACUGGGCGUAAAGGGUGCGCAGGUGGGUUGGCAAGUUUGAUGUGAAAGCCCCGGGCUUAACCCGGGAAUGGCAUUGAAUACUGCUGAUCUGGAGGAUCGGAGGGGGGACUGGAAUUCUUGGUGUAGCAGUGAAAUGCGUAGAUAUCAAGAGGAACACCAGUGGCGAAGGCGAGUCCCUGGACGAUACCUGACACUGAGGCACGAAAGCUAGGGGAGCAAACAGG
rnacentral:rRNA from 1 species